rnacentral:lncRNA from 1 species
AUGGGCGUGGCCAGGUGCCGGCCGAGAGAACUCACUGGGCAAUGGCUCGGAGCCAGGAGUAGCCUGCUGCGAGCAGGGAAGCGCCAUGUUUUCGUACGGAAAGUAGUAGGGGCAUCUGGACACCAUGGUAUUGCCGGCGCCGCGACGGGAAAGAGGAAAAAACGCGCGGAGUCAGUUAAAGAAAGGAAAAGGAAAGAAGCAAUCGCAUUUCAAACCUUUCCCGCCCAGAUUUUGAAAUAUAUGCCAUCAUCUUUGUAUCUACACAAAGUUUAUUCCUCUUCCCUCAUUUUGGCUGUUAUAAAAGUCAUGCCCAGCGUUUCCCAUAUAGCGACGUCUCAGUGGCACUCGGGGUCUCACUCUGGAGGUCAGGCUGGCCUUGAACUCAUGGACGUCCUCUGGCCUCAGCUCCCCAGCGCUGGGAUUACAAAUGUGCGUCACCGUGCCUGGCCUGUUCCAGUUUGAUCUUUGCUUUCAAGGACUAGAAAGUCAAACUACCUCAAGGGAAAAGGAGUUCAGUGUGAGGCUACAGGGGACUGGGAAAAAGGAGACAGCUGCUCUUGGAGGUAAGCUGCUACCCUGUCACCUCCCUGAAGCACUGGGAGGAUCUCUCCUCACAUCUCUGCUUUGUGCUGGUUUUUCUAGUUUCCUAAUUGCAGCUCUCAUAACCAAUUUUUCUUAAAAUUUUAUCCUAUUUUUGCUUAUUAACCAUAGACUGUUUACUGGUGUUUUCCAUGAGAUUGUCAUUCUGUUUGAAUGUUGCUGCUUCUAGAACCAUGUACAUCAUUAAGCAGUUCCUUUUGUCUUCCCCUCAAGGUGUUAGUUUUGGUUGCCAAAUAAUCAUGCUUCUUAAUUAUGUGCAAAAUAAAGAUUGUAAAUCAGCACAGAGUUGCUCUGCCAACUAUUUUGUCUCACCAGUUUUAGUAGCUUGUUUCUGAAAACUUCCUCUCACGUAAGCCAUGAAUUAUCUUUCCUCUUUGUAAAGAAAGCUGCCCCCCCUUUCUUUAUGCAAGAAAACUUAAUUUUCCCUGCUUUAUGUGAGUUGGUAUUAUGCUAUUAUAUUACAGAUAUUAGCCCUCGACCUUCUUCCACUUGAAGACUAGCCAGUAUCAGUUAUAUCAGAAAACAAAAAUUACUGAUAAUGUCACCAUAUUAGUGUGUCAUUUUUAAGUUUUCCCUACCUCUCAUCAAAAAACUAUGUUAAAAUAUAAAAUUCAGGGCCAGGGAUUUAGCUCAGUGGUGCCGCUGCCUAUCGCAA